CCUCUCCCGCUCGCCCGGUGCCUGGGCGUGGCAUCGGGCGAGCGGGGGGCGAGACCGCCCGCGGAUUGACUGUGGGGGUCUCUCUGGAGGCGGGGAGCGCACAGAGCGCCAUGUCGGCUGUGGGGAAGUGAUGGAGGAGGCGGCGGCGGGUGCACUGCACUGCGCGCCGGCGGAGAGCUCAUAAAAGAACUACAACUCCCAUGAAGCCCCGCGUCACGUGCUGGACCCGCCAUUUCUGUUCGGGCCACAGCGCCCCUGCCGGCCCGGCGGACCGACCUCAGGGAAAGGGGAUCCUGAUGCCCGCCCUGAACCCCAGAGACCGCAAAACUCAGCACACAGAGAUCCUACAGGGAGGGUUCAGCAGUGGGGUUCAGGGGGUCACCCAGCCCCCAGGGGAGGGGGCCUGGUGGUGCCCCCCAAAGUCCAGGGACGAGAUGUACCACAUCCGGCCCCAUUAACCCCCCCUUCCCCAGGUGGUUCCUUUGCCCAUGGGCAGCAAAGCCCCCACUGCUUCUGCAACUGGAGAGUGUUGGAGCCGUGGACCAUUAACAUUCCAGUCUCUCCCAGCUCUGCAUCCCAAAAGUCAAGAGGGAUCAGUCUGUCACCUCAAAGUGAAUCAAUCCCAUUGAAAAUGGCUCGAUCCCAUUCCAAAACCUCUGUGUUUCUUAUUUUCCCUAUGUAAUUCUGAGGCAGCUGGUGCCACUCCUCAGCUCUCAGCAGGCUGAGGCUUGGCCUUGCACUUUUGCCUUUGCUGGAUUUCUUCAUCAAAUAUUUCUCUCUCCCUGAAAAGAAACAUAUGGAAGGUUUUCAAUAAUCUGGACAUCUUUAGACCAUCUGGACAAAUGACAGUUUGCAGUGUUGGAACAGCUCAGCCACAACGUUUUCCAUGUUUAACCAUUUAUUCCCAUCCCUCCCAGGAGGGAGGACACUGAACUCUUCCACAGAAACAGAAAACUAGUAACAAAAAUUCAGAGACUACUGAAAACGAAAAAUACCUUUUGCUCACAGGUGGCCCUUUCACGUCCUUCUCUUCUGCCUUCCUGCAGUCCACGUUAUCCACGGCAGCAGUUGCCUAGAUCAUGGCCCAAAAAAGCUUUUUAAGUCAUUUAGAAUCAUUCCAGAAAACUGAAUCACAGCUGGGGGGUGGGAGACCAAACAGGUGUUCAGGCUGGAGAGCCAGAGGCAGCUCCCCAGAGAGAGGCCUCAGAGAUAGGGAUGGAAUCCAUCAGACGGCCUUGGGCACUCUGUGAGAGGGAGAGAAGGAGCUGCAACUUCAGGGGAAGGACACCUGUGGUGAACACCUGCUACCAAAGUUAAAAAUGAGAAGGAAGAGACUGCUUUAGUUCACCCCACUUAUGAAAUAGGAAUUAAUUUAUAAUUAAGAAUGACAGUGUGUUGUUAGAAAAAUUUGACUAGUGUGGAUAAGUUAGAAAAAGUGUGUGACAGUGUGUUAAAUAGGUCCAUGCGUGCCUCCUUCCCUGUAGCCUAGAAAUUCCUGCGCUGGGUGGGAUAAAAAAGCUUUACUGUAAACAUUGCAUGCCUUUUCUGCCGUUUUGGGGUGGACGAGGAGGACGGAAGAAUAAAACUUCUAUUUUUAGUGA